AGAUUUGCUGUUUCUUAGUAAUGAGUCUUGCUAUACAGUAAAGGGAAAAUCUGUCCCUCCCUUUGCUUUUGUGCAAGUGUAAAAGGCAUUCACCCUUCGCACCAGUGGAGCUGAGGCAUCCGUGGGGAAGAAGGAAUAGCAGGAGGAAAAAAAUUACAGUGCCCAAAAUGAAGUUGAAGUAUUGAGGAAUGUUUUUGCAAGAUUUGCAGUCCAGCCAGAAACCAGGAUGUUGUACCUUACCAGGGUGGUGUACUCAAGCUGUCUGAAGGAAGAUGGCUACAAGGAAAAGAGCAGAUGGGAGGAACACGUUGGCAAGUGUUUACCAAUAAACACAGAAGAAAAGCUGAGACUGAUCAUCACCUCUGAGUAUGACCAAGUAUCUCACAAGAAAACAACUUAUUUCUUUGAAUAGGAGGCAGCAACUGCCACAGGUGCGGACUCCGUGGGUGUUCUGGGGCUGGAGCACCCACGGGAUAAAAUUAGGAGGUGCUCUGCACCCAGCAGCAGCCAAGCUCCCGCUCCUUGCCUCCUUCUCCCCCUGGAGUGUGCUGCGUCCCCGCCCCACCCCCACCACCUAACAGCUAUUUGGUGGCGCUUAGGACUUUCCGGGAGGGAGGGGGAGGAGCAGGGAUGCAGUGCACUCAGGGGAGGAGGCGGAGAAGAGGCGGGGACUUGGGGGAAAGGGGUGGAAUGGGGGUGGGAAGGGGUGGAAUGGGGGCAGGGCGAGGGUGGUGCAGGAACAGGAAGAGGCGGGGGCAGGGGCGGAGGGGAGUUGAGCACCCACCGGGCAGAGGGGAAGUCGAUGCCUAUGGCAACUGCUACUCCUUCUCCCUAUGCAUUUCUAAAUUUCCUCGAGGGAAGCUCCCAUCUUCAGCAGUCCUUAGCUCCCUCUCCUCCCCUUUUAGACAGAAAACAAUCGAACCUUUAUUUUUUAUUAUUAGGAGGGCUAAUGGCUGCCAAAUUUCUAUGCUGAACCCUGAAAAUUCCAGUUUCCUUCCAUCCCUGAUUCCCAAUUAGUUAUUUCAUGGGACAAACACAAAGAAAAUAUUUACCCUGCCAUGGGCUCUUCCAUGGGGGCAUUACUGUCUCCUCCCAUGACACCCACUGGACAUGCCCCUGAGUUGAAGAUCACAUAAGCCAAGGAGGAAUCAAUGCAAAACAUAGAAUCAUAGAAGAUUAGGGUUGGAAGAGACCUCAGGAGGUCGUUCUCCUUUCCAGUUUCCUUUGAAAUUAUACAAACGCAUUGGUUUUCUUAACCACACACAGGGAGUAGUGCUUUGGAAAGGCCACAGGCUUAGUGGUAUUGUUGUUGUGUCAUUACUUUUAGAAGUAUUUAUAUAUUUUAAAUGAACUUCUGAGCAUGAGACUGUAUUUGCUUAAGACAUUUAAAAAAAUCAGUAAUUAAAAAAAUAUAUAUAAAGAUUUAAAAUGUACCAUUAUACUUGCAGUGCUGAAAAGGUGGAACCGAAUUCUGCUCUCAGAUACUCCAGGGUAAAUCUGGAGUAACUCCUCACGGAAAGGAGAAUUCAGCCCAGGCAGUUACUCUGCAAGUCAAUAUGUCUGACCUUCCCUACAUUGUCCUACCAAUGACCCCUUUUGUAAUCAGGCAGAAAUCAUGCUCUUUAAGAGUGGGAGGUAAUGCUGCUUCCAUGCCGGCCUAUUCCUGGGCCUCUACUAUACAGACAUUGCCAACAGUAACAAAUUGCUCUGAGUUAUGUGCCAUAGUUUAGUGAUGUGGACUAGUUAUUUAUUAGACACAGAGCUGGGACACUAGCAAAGGGAGAAAAGCGGGAGUCAAAAAUCCAAAGGAAGUGAAGCUGCAUUGCCUAGAAGGUGGCUUGAGCAAAUGAUGUUCUGUUUCCCUCGUCUUCUGAAUUGUACAAUAUUGCAUUUAAAAGUGAACCGUGUGCAACAUGUUAAAAGCAAACCGCAAAAAAUAAAGGAACCCCUCCCCCCCCCCAAGGGCUGUGGUUAAAGGGGAGAGUUAGUCCCACGCUGGAUUCAACUGUACUUCCAGAGGUGACAGAUCACUGCUUGAUUGUUUCUUAAACCCGCACAGCUUCUUAGCUGCAUACUGAUUUCAGGACUAAAGGAUAUCUUUAAAGUGUAAUAGGUAUGAUAAAAAUAAACAUCUUUCCAUAAAUUUAAAGGCAGUUCAUGUGGACCAGAUCCUGAGUUGGUGUAAACUGGCAUAGGUCCACUGAAGUCAAUGGAGCUCUGCUGAUCUACAUCAGCUGAGGAACUAGCCCUGUGUAUUUAUUUGGAUACAUGUGCUUGAAAGAAGAAAAUACUUCUUUAAUGCAGUGAGCCUAUAAAGUGAUUCUGGGGGGGAAAUAUUUACUAGCUUCCUCUCUUUUGAGCUCUAGUUCACUGUGACAUGUUAACAUGCCAAAGUAAUGUCAAUAGCUAGCCAGCCAAGUAACAUUCACUGUCAUUCAUGUCAUUCCGUUAAAAUUUGCCUGAGCAAGGUCCAAUACAGGGGUUCUCAAACUGGGGGUUGGGACCCCUCAGGGGGUUGGGAGGUUAUUACAUGGGGGCAGGACGGGCCCUAGGCUCCAGCAAAGCAAGCACGUGGUUGGGGCAGCACAAUCCCAGGGGUGGCGUUCUCGCCACCCCUUUUUUUUUUUGCUUGGGCGGUUUGCUUGGGGUGGCAAAAAACCGAGAGCCGGCCCUGCAUGGGGGGUCCUGAGCUGUCACCUCCACCCCAAACCCCACUUUUCCUCCAGCAUUUAUAAUGGUGUUAAAUGUAUAAAAAUGUGUUUUUAAUGUAUAAGGGGGGGGGGGUCGCACUCAGAGGCUUGCUAUGUGAAAGGGGCCACCAGUACAAAAGUUUGAGAACCACUGGUCUAAUAUGCCUUGCUCCUUGUUUCUUACUGAAAACCAUCACUCGUACUAUUUCCGUAUUAUUUUGUCAGUCUGAAAUAGUGCUGUGCACAUAAUUGAUUUUUCCAUUCAUCCUGAACUAAAACUGAUUUAAAAAAAAAAAAAUUGGUGAAUUGAAAAAGUUUGGAAAAUGUUUUGGGUCCAACUAAAUGUUUCGGGCAUUUUUAACCAUUUUAGUCAAAGCAAAGGAAAUGAAGGAUCUAGAUCCACAAAACAGAGGCCGUGUUGGUUGGUUUGUGCAUCUCUUAUACUUAUUAGUCCUGUAGACAGGACACCAGCUUGGUUCCAGGCCCAGCUCCAAUUAAUAUUUAAGUAUUUAUAUAACAUGGAACAGGAGAUAUUGAGGUCAACCCCCUAACUCAUAAGAAUAACCUAUAGCCUUGUGAUGAGGGCGCUGACUAGCAAUGGGCAGACCUGGAUUCAAGUCGAAAGAAGGGAUUUUGACCUAGAUUUCCCUCCUGCCAGUCAAUUGCACUAACUACUAAGUUAUUGAGUCUAAGUGGGGGCACCUCAGUUUGUGAAUAGUGCCUAAGUCCCCUUGUGAGUCUAGCUAAAAAAAAAUCAACGUUUCAUUUUAAUAAUGUCAAAACAACAUUUUUAUGUUUUCAUUUUAUCUGAAACAAUUCACCCAGAUCAACACAAGUUCAUAAAAUGUUUGUCUACCUGAAUCUGUCAAAAUUUUUCAAAAUGUUGAAUUGCUUAUAUUUUUUUCUUUCUCCCCCUCUUUCCCUUUUUCCUUUGUUCCUUUUUGCUACUGAAUGUAAUAAAAUGAAUUACAUUUC